GAUCAUUUAGCCAGCUUUCAAACUCCCCGGCGUCUGCCACGGGCGCAGCCAUCUUGGCCCUAUGGGGUCUUUUCGGCGGCGCACGGCUGUCUUUUCUCAUUGCCUGUUCAAAAAGUGUUGUACAGAAGAUGACGUCAGUGAGACAACCUGUGCAACAUGACGGGUGGGUGGACACCAGGUGAGAGACAAGUCACUAACGGGCUGUGAUUCUGCGCUGAACUGGUCACACCAUCAGCCCAGCUGUUUCUCUUGCCUCAAG